rnacentral:rRNA from 1 species
UACGUAGGCAGCAAGCGUUGUUCGGAGUUACUGGGCGUAAAGGGUGUGUAGGCGGUUUUUUAAGUUUGGUGUGAAAUCUCCCGGCUCAACUGGGAGGUGCGCCGAAUACUGAAGACUAGAGUGCGGGAGAGGAAAGUGGAAUUCCUGGUGUAGCGGUGAAAUGCGUAGAUAUCAGGAGGAACACCGGUGGUGUAGACGGCUUUCUGGACCGUAACUGACGCUGAGACACGAAAGCGUGGGGAGCGAACAGGA